CCUACGGGAGGCAGCAGUGGGGAAUAUUGGGCAAUGGGCGCAAGCCUGACCCAGCAACGCCGCGUGAAGGAAGAAGGCUUUCGGGUUUUAAACUUCUUUUGUCAGGGACGAAGCCCGUGACGGUACCUGACGAAUAAGCCACGGCUAACUACGUGCCAGCAGCCGCGUUAAUACGUAGGUGGCAAGCGUUAUCCGGAUUUACUGGGUGUAAAGGGCGUGUAGGCGGGACUGCAAGUCAGAUGUGAAAACCACGGGCGCAACCUGUGGCCUGCAGUUGAAACUGUAGUUCUUGAGUGCUGGAGAGGCAGACGGAAUUCCUGGUGUAGCGGUGAAAUGCGUAGAUAUUAGGAGGAACACCAGUGGCGAAGGCGGUCUGCUGGACAGCAACUGACGCUGAGGCGCGAAAGCGUGGGGAGCAAACAGGAUUAGAUACCCUGGUAGUC
rnacentral:rRNA from 1 species